UGCCAGCCGCCGCGGUAACACGAACCGUCCAAACGUUAUUCGGAAUCACUGGGCUUAAAGGGUUCGUAGGCGGCUAUGUAGGUGGGGUGUGAAAUCCCUCGGCUCAACCGAGGAACUGCGCUCCAAACCCCGUAGCUUGAGGGAGGCAGAGGUAAGCGGAACUGAUGGUGGAGCGGUGAAAUGCGUUGAUAUCAUCAGGAACACCAGUGGCGAAGGCGGCUUACUGGGUCUCUUCUGACGCUGAGGAACGAAAGCUAGGGGAGCGAAUGCGAUUCGAUA
rnacentral:rRNA from 1 species